rnacentral:tRNA from 1 species
CUGGUCGGUUCCGAUCGCGCAUCCGAAGGCUGAUCAGCGCGGUGACGGCGAAGACGGCGGCCUCGUAGAUCAU